GUCCCCGCGGCUCUCACUGGCUGCAAGAACGGAGCAGCCACAGCGUGUGACAAAGAGGAUCAGAAUCCGCUGACAUAGAAACCAUCUGGGUAUCAAGUUCUGCUGAGUGAACAUUUAGCUGGACCCGGUGUGUUCCGAUCUCUGCGGCUGCCCUCUUUUCCUGCACACACUCCCGAUAAUGGUCCCCUGCUUAAAAAAGAUUUACCCGAAUGUACCCGAAUACCGAAUGUAUACGAAAAAUCAAACCCACCCGAAUACGAAUGUAUCCGUGAAAAAAUCAAACCCAGACACCCGAAUACCGAAUGUAUCCGAAAAGAUUAACCCACCGGACACCCGAAUACCGAAUGUAUCCGGAAAAAAAUGAAACCUGGACACCCGAAUACCGAAUGUAUCUGAAAAUCAAAACUGAAGAUAUUACUGAACCGAAAAUUUUAUA